rnacentral:rRNA from 1 species
CCUACGGGAGGCAGCAGUCGAGAAUCUUUCACAAUGGGGGAAACCCUGAUGGUGCGACGCCGCGUGGGGGAAUGAAGGUCUUCGGAUUGUAAACCCCUGUCAUGUGGGAGCAAAUUAAAAAGAUAGUACCACAAGAGGAAGAGACGGCUAACUCUGUGCCAGCAGCCGCGGUAAUACAGAGGUCUCACGCGUUGUUCGGAAUCACUGGGCGUAAAUCGUGCGUAGGCUGUUUCGUAAGUCGUGUGUGAAAGGCGCGGGCUCAACCCGCGGACGGCACAUGAUACUGCGAGACUAGAGUGAGGGAGGGGGAAGCGGAAUGCGCGGUGUAGCAGUGAAAUGCGUAGAUA